rnacentral:rRNA from 1 species
AUUGAACGCUGGCGGCAGGCCUAACACAUGCAAGUCGAACGGCAGAACGGUGCUUGCUUGUGGUUUCAGGGGCGGACGGGCGGGUGAUGCCUAGGAAUCUCCCUGGCUAUUGUGUCUAACGUCAGAAAGUGGGCGCAAAUACCCCAUUAGCCCAGAGGGACAAAGUGGGGGAUCUUGGGAUCUUCCGCUCUUACAUGAGUCUAGGUCGGAUUAGCUAGUUGGUGGGGUAAAGGCGUACCAAGGCGACGAUCCGUAACUGGUCUGAGAGGAUGAUCAGUCACACUGGAACUGAGACACGGUCCAGACUCCUACGGGAGGCAGCAGUGGGGAAUAUUGGACAAUGGGCGCAAGCCUGAUCCAGCCAUGCCGCGUGUGUGAAGAAGGUCUUCGGAUUGUAAAGCACUUUUAGUGGGGAAGAAGAGCAGUAGGUUAAUACCUCGCUGUUUUGACGUUACCAACAGAAUAAGCACCGGCUAACUUCGUG